rnacentral:rRNA from 1 species
UACGAAGGGGGCUAGCGUUGCUCGGAAUGACUGGGCGUAAAGGGCGCGUAGGCGGAUGGCACAGUCAGAUGUGAAAUUCCCGGGCUUAACCUGGGGGCUGCAUUUGAUACGUGUGAUCUGGAGUGAGGAAGAGGGUCGUGGAAUUCCCAGUGUAGAGGUGAAAUUCGUAGAUAUUGGGAAGAACACCGGUGGCGAAGGCGGCGACCUGGUCCUUGACUGACGCUGAGGCGCGACAGCGUGGGGAGCAAACAGG